UACGUAGGGCGCAAGCGUUGUCCGGAAUUAUUGGGCGUAAAGAGCUCGUAGGUGGCUUGUCACGUCGGGUGUGAAAGCUUGGGGCUUAACUCCAGGUCUGCAUUCGAUACGGGCUGGCUAGAGGUAGGUAGGGGAGAACGGAAUUCCUGGUGUAGCGGUGAAAUGCGCAGAUAUCAGGAGGAACAUCGGUGGCGAAGGCGGUUCUCUGGGCCUUACCUGACGCUGAGGAGCGAAAGCGUGGGGAGCGAACAGG
rnacentral:rRNA from 1 species